GACGGACGCUGGCGGCGUGCUUAACACAUGCAAGUCGAGCGGUAAGGCCCUUUCGGGGGUACACGAGCGGCGAACGGGUGAGUAACACGUGGGUGACCUGCCCUCAGCUCUGGGAUAAGCCUGGGAAACCGGGUCUAAUACCGGAUAUGACUCCAUGACGCAUGUUGUGGGGUGGAAAGCCUUGUGCGGCUGAGGAUGGGCCCGCGGCCUAUCAGCUUGUUGGUGGGGUGAUGGCCACCAAGGCGACGACGGGGUAG
rnacentral:rRNA from 1 species